ACACUGAUGUUGUGCUGUAUAAAAUUUGUCUUGUAGACAGUGGGCAGGAGGAAACCAAAGCUCCCAGAGAAAACCUACACAGACUUGGGGAGAACAUGCAAACUCCACACAGGAAGGACCUGGACCACUUCACCUGGAAAUCGAACCCAAGACAUUCUCGCUGUAAGGUGACAGUGCUACCCAUGAGCCACCGUGCCACCCAAGCUAACAAACAAAGGGAAAUGAACCAUUGAUUGAUUCCAGACACAAACUCUCCCUCUUUGAUUGGGGUAAUUAUGACUAUGUCACCCCUGACUGCACAUCCUAACAGCUCCUGGCACUCUGCACAAUGAAAGAUACAGCAGGAUUCACAGAUUGACAGAACACAUCUAAGAAUAUUAACAUAUAUAAA